CUGCUUGUAACAAUACCUGUUCCUCAUCCCGUUAAGAACAGCGUUACAUCUGCAACAUGCUGUAUUUAAAAAGAAAGUACUAAGGCUGCUAACCUUAGAACAGAGGUUAUCUAGAAGUAUAUGUCUCUUAAAAAG